AUCCAUGCUCCCUGUCCGACACCCUCCCAUGUUGCAGUUAACAUUUCCCUGCCAGUCUUCUUCCCCCAUCAUGCCCAACCGACUGGUCCAAUACUGUUCAAAACUAUAUGGAAAUGCCUCGUCAUCGUAGUUUGGAGUAUGUGCAGAGCACUCAGGAUAACAAGCAGUUAAUUUGCUUGAUGAGACUGAUUUGCCGGGGAAGGGAGCAGACACUGCUGUGAGCAUGAUGAUCACUACUUCAAGUACCAUGGUUUGGAGAAGAAAAGCCGAAAUUGGCACUUUGGUCUUUGGAAAAGCAGCAAACAGGCCUGGCUUUGUGCAGUGCAGGUUUGUUGCAUCGGAUAUGGUGUAGUUUACCUUGAUGAAAACCAGAGUAGUUGUGUUACCUGAACUCCUUUCCGAAAUCUGCAUCAAGGGGAUGGAUCUUGAAUGGCAGUGGUAUUAACAUGACAAGAUCAGAUAAUACAGCAGAUUUGACAUUUAAAAAGACAGUGUGCCCUUGACAGUCUCAACCAAAGCAUUGAACAAACUGUACAACCUGUUAAUUAACUUUUAGAGCUGUUUGUUUGGACUAGUAUUUGUCAUUCAGAAAUAAGUAUUAACGUUAUUUCUCAGUAUGAGAAAACUUCAGGAAUUAGAAACUUACUGAUAUUUACUAUAACUAUGUAAACAAACCUCUUAGGGGUUUAGCCAGGUUAAAGAAAGACAGGGAGCCACAGAAAAGAGACAGGUUUCCAUGUGUCAAUAGAACACCCUUCAUUUAGCUGUGAAGAAUUUUAACAUUUUGAAUGUUACAGAAAAUGUAAGGAACAUUGUAUAAUGUUUAAUUGAAGUACUAUUAGGUUUCAAGUGCCAAAUAUGGAAAG